GUGCAGGCAGCGCUUCCUUCCGGGCAACCUUGCGUUUGCAGCGAGUCGGCGCCCGCGCCAGUCCGCGACUGGCCACCGUAGCGCUCGUACGCGCUACAACACGCUCCUCCCGCGAAAACACGUGACAAUACGCGAGUACAACAAACAAUUUUGGAUUGACGGACGGUGCAUGUGUACAAGUGGCUGCCACUCAGUGCUUUGAAGUGGAGGCUCGGGCCGCCGGCGCCGCUGGGCCCGUGAUCGGCCCGAGCGGCGGUAUGGAAUCCCCGCAAAUGUACGACGCGGCGGCAGCACCGCCGCCGCCACCGCAGCCAGACCUCAAGAAGGCAGUUGAUGAUAAAAGACCAGCGUUUCCUCCUCCGGACCUAGACGAGCUCAAUGGACAGGAAAUUAGCUUGGACUUGCAACACCUCAUCGAGGACCAGUUCCGAGGGGAAGAGACCAUGGCCCUCUUCCAGGAAAUACUUCCUGGUGGCCGCUCUCCACAACCUAGACAGAGUUUUGCCCGAACAACCUUGGCAUAUAUGCCCCAGCCGGUACACUCAGGCGCGUCCUAUGCUGCUCCCGUGCCAACGAGCUCAGGGCAUGAGCAACAAGCGCCGCCAAUAAAGGAGGAACCACCAGAGCCUCAUGAUUUCAGGAGAUCGGUGACGUGUGCACAGUAUACUGGUCAAUAUAAUCCUCAACCACCAGUUGGUGUAGGUGGUCCGUAUGGCGGCGGAUUUACGCCAUUACCACCAUUAGGUGCUCCGUUACUGCCGCCUCUACUCAAACACAAGCCUGCACCAGCGAGACGCUCUUCAGGCAAAGUGAUAGACAAAGGUACAGACGAAUAUAGGAGGCGGCGGGAGCGCAACAAUAUAGCGGUCAGGAAAUCACGGGAAAAAGCAAAAGUGCGUUCCAGGGAGGUGGAGGAAAAAGUUAAAACGUUGUUAAGGGAGAAAGAGGCGUUGCUAAAGAGGCUGGAGGCAGUAUCGGGAGAGUUGAGCCUACACAAACAGAUGUACGUUCAUUUAAUCAAUUUGAACCAUCCUGAGAUCACGGAGCUUUGCCGAUCGAUGCUGCAAAUUGGAGCCCCUCAUGCGCCUGAUCACACGCUUUGACCGUAUGUGAGUGUGCGUUACCUUUUUGUUGUGUGCAUCCGCUGGCUACAUUGCGGCAUAAUGUACAUGGAACUAAGACAGCGGAGCGUUACGUAGCGUUAGCGUCCGUGUGAUAACAUAACAUGUGCAUGACGAAACUUACUAUUUAUAAGUGAAACUCCUUUUUGGAAAACUUUAGCUAGCGAAUUGUAACUUUGUGAUUUUUACUGUUUACUUUUUAUAUAAAUAUACAAGGAUAGCAUAGUUUAUAAGGUAGUUGCAAAAGAUUAAAAAAUGACGCAGAAACGCAACUUCUUUGUCAUUUUUUGACGCGCGCGCGGAUCGUUUACGGUCCAUUACUUAUUGUAAGAAGUGCCGUUUCUCAAUUAGUUAUUAUUUAAUCUUUUGAUUGUAAACAUAUUCUGACAAUGGCGAAUCCUAGCUACCUAGUAGUGAUCUCAAAUAAUGUGGCAAGGAUUUGCGCACGCUCACAAAAUCACUGCCAUUGAGCCUCAAAAAUGUUCUUUAAAACGACAUCGGGAAAGUCUGAUUUUAUUUGCGAAGGCUGCUGUAGAUUAAUUUUUAUUGGACAGUCAUGAUUUUUUUUUAAUUCAUUGUUAUGUCUUAGUCAAGAAAUGUGAACAAAUGAAGAUUGCAUCUUGACCACAAAAUAAAUUUCGAUUUAUUUUUAAAUUGUUUUAAAAUCUUUCUUAAAGUUCUUAAGUUAAAAAAAAAAAAAAACUAUCUACCAAUAUACUCAUGAUUUGUAUCGAUUGUAUCGAACCGCUACUUCAUCAAGGUCACCAAAUGUGACAUCUGUCAAGGUCAAAUUUAUCAAUCGUUAUCUCUGUGUUCGAAUUGUGAUCUCCGUUUGAUUUCUUGAUUCCAUCAUUGGCUAUAUAUAGGUGAGAAACAUCAUGCGAUGCAUCUGUGAAUUAAUCUUUGUCAGAUUAAACAUUAUAGAUGUCGCUAGAAUCAUUUUAAUAGUAAACGUUGUUAUUUUUAUUAUCUAAAUAUAUAUAUAUUUGGAUGACUGAUCAUUAAAAAUCAAAUUAUCGUAUCCAUUCAAUUUUUAAGUUAAGAACGUCUUAAUGUAAUAUAUAGUUUAAUUAGUUAGUUUUAAUGUUACUGUAAUAUAAAUUGGUUGUAAAUAAUUUGGAAUCUAUAAAUAAUCGAAUGUUCUAGUUGUAAAAUACUUAUUUACUCUUCUGUCUUUAUUCUAUUUUACCUUUUACUAUUUUGUCUUUUUAUUAUAUAAUAAAAUUUUAUUAACAAUUCAGAAAACAAUUGAUGUUUCGUUAGAAAAAUAUAGAAGAGAUACUGUGUUUUAUCUUAUACUUUAAUGUAAUAACUAAAGAUUAAGACUAAGGGUCCCGGAUGGUCGCGAAACUAGUUGAGAUUUCUUGACUAAACUAGACUUAAGUUAAACCGGUAGUUAUUACAUUAAAAUAUAAUGCGUACUUACAAAACUUUUAGCAAUUAAAUUGUCCAUCUUAUUAACAGUUUUGUUUCUUUUUUUUUAAUUCUAAUUACUUGUUAAACUGUACUAUUAAAUUUGUUUUUUUUUUUUUUUGAAUAAAUUAAAUCAUUAUGUAAAUAUUUACUAUUUUUAACUUUACCGCUGAGCGAUUAAGUCUUGCUAUGGGUUAUAUAAUUGUUGAUUUCUAAAAUUUUUAUUCCUAACGAUGUACCUUUAAAUGAUUUUUGUUAGAUAUCUCUUGUCUAUGUUACGUUAAGUGUUAAGUGACGAGUUUUAAAUUAAAAUAUAUGAUAAAAUCAUUCUUUUGUCGUGUGGGAAGUACAAGGAGUUAUUUAUAUUAAAUAUAUAAUUCAAUUUGUUUU
rnacentral:misc_RNA from 1 species